CUUUCCUACGGGACGCAGCAGUGGGGAAUAUUGCACAAUGGGGGAAACCCUGAUGCAGCAACGCCGCGUGAGUGAGGAAGUAUUUCGGUAUGUAAAGCUCUAUCAGCAGGGAAUAGAAAAGAAGGUACCUGAAAAAGAAGCUCCGGCUAACUACGUGCCAGCAGCCGCGGUAAUACGUAGGGGGCAAGCGUUAUCCGGAUUUACUGGGUGUAAAGGGAGCGUAGACGGAAAGGCAAGUCAGAAGUGAAAACCCAAGGCUCAACCAUGGGACUGCUUUUGAAACUGAGUAGCUAGAGUGCAGGAGG
rnacentral:rRNA from 1 species